GCAGUCUCAGCUUGCAGAGCUAACAAGGAAGGAAAAUAUUAACAUGAAAUUGCUGUGGUAACAGCAUUCAUCCAUAGCUUGCAUGGUCUAGGGAAGGGAUUAAUUCCUCUCUACUUUCUGCAACUUCUUUGGCUGCGCAUUUUAGCUCCCCAACUCAUGCUCUCCAUAUCUUUAUGUUUACUCAUCCUUGUUAGCUCUGCAAGCUGAGACUGCCAUCUCUGUUCCCACUCAGUUCUAUCAUCAUCCAAUCCCUGCUCAUGACAAGUUUUUAAAUUAAAUUAGAAACCAAGAAACCAUACAGUAGCUUGUGACAGAAAUCUUGAUUUUCAGGGAAACCAAAUAUACCUCGUUGGAGCGGGAUCGCUUUGUAUUGGAGAAAA
rnacentral:misc_RNA from 1 species